rnacentral:rRNA from 1 species
UCGAACGCAUAGCGCUACAGGGUUUUCCCUGUGGCACGUCUGGUUCAGGGUUGU